GACGAACGCUGGCGGCGUGCCUAAUACAUGCAAGUUGAGCGCUGAAGGUUGGUACUUGUACCGACUGGAUGAGCAGCGAACGGGUGAGUAACGCGUGGGGAAUCUGCCUUUGAGCGGGGGACAACAUUUGGAAACGAAUGCUAAUACCGCAUAAAAACUUUAAACACAAGUUUUAAGUUUGAAAGAUGCAAUUGCAUCACUCAAAGAUGAUCCCGCGUUGUAUUAGCUAGUUGGUGAGGUAAAGGCUCACCAAGGCGAUGAUACAUAGCCGACCUGAGAGGGUGAUCGGCCACAUUGGGACUGAGACACGGCCCAAACUCCUACGGGAGGCAGCAGUAGGGAAGCUUCGGCAAUGGACGAAAGUCUGACCGAGCAACGCCGCGUGAGUGAAGAAGGUUGUCGGAUCGUAAAACUCUGUUGGUAGAGAAGAACGUUGGUGAGAGUGGAAAGCUCAUCAAGUGACGGUAACUACCCAGAAAGGGACGGCUAACUGCGUG
rnacentral:rRNA from 1 species